rnacentral:tRNA from 1 species
GGCCCCAUAGCUCAACUGAAUAGAGUAUCUGACUUCGGAUCAGACGGUUGUAGGUUUGAAUCCUACUGGGGUCA